GAUGAACGCUAGCUACAGGCUUAACACAUGCAAGUCGAGGGGAAACGGCAUCGAAAGCUUGCUUUUGAUGGGCGUCGACCGGCGCACGGGUGAGUAACGCGUAUCCAACCUGCCCAUCACUUGGGAAUAACCUUGCGAAAGUAAGACUAAUGCCCAAUGACAUCCCACGAAGGCAUCCGAAUGGGAUUAAAGAUUUAUCGGUGAUGGAUGGGGAUGCGUCUGAUUAGCUUGUUGGCGGGGUGACGGCCCACCAAGGCAACGAUCAGUAGGGGUUCUGAGAGGAAGGUCCCCCACAUUGGAACUGAGACACGGUCCAAACUCCUACGGGAGGCAGCAGUGAGGAAUAUUGAUCAAUGGGCGAGAGCCUGAACCAGCCAAGUAGCGUGCAGGAGGACGGCCCUAUGGGUUGUAAACUGCUUUUAUAAGGGAAUAAAGUGGGUCACGUGUGACUUUUUGCAUGUACCUUAUGAAUAAGGACCGGCUAAUUCCGUG
rnacentral:rRNA from 1 species